rnacentral:rRNA from 1 species
GACGAACGCUGGCGGCGUGCCUAAUACAUGCAAGUCGAGCGGACGAAUCGAAAGCUUGCUUUUGUUUCGUUAGCGGCGGACGGGUGAGUAACACGUGGGCAACCUGCCCUGUAGACGGGGAUAACACCGAGAAAUCGGUGCUAAUACCGGAUAACACGAAAUGUCGCAUGACGUUUCGUUGAAAGACGGCGCAAGCUGCCGCUACAGGUUGGGCCCGCCGCGCAUUAGCUGGUUGGUAGGGUAAGGGCUCCCCAAGGAGACGAGACUUAGCCGCCCUGAGAGGGUGAUCGGCCACACUGGGACUGAGACACGGCCCAGACUCCUACGGGAGGCAGCAGUAGGGAUCCUUCCGCAAUGGACGAAAGUCUGACGGAGCAACGCGGCGGGAGCGAAGAAGGCCUUCGGGUCGUAAAGCCCGGUUGUUAGGGAAGAACAAGUAACGCAGUAACGGGCGUUACCGUGACGGUACCUAACGAGAAAGCCACGGCUAACUACGU